UUUUCAGAAUUAGUGUAUGAAUUCACGGCCAGAAAGCAGUUUUGAGAGGUCGCUGCCACCUUUAACCAUCAAAAUCUAAUCAGUUGAACGUUGACUGCAAGAAAACUGCUGUGCCAAAUUCAAAGAAAUCCACAUGAGCGGGAUGGACCUGAGGUCACAGUGUCGCUUGACCUUUGACCACUAAAAGCUAAACAGUUUAUCCUCCCUCGAGUCCAGGUGGACUUUUUUUUGCAAUCAGCGGGUCGUUUUCAUAUUUGUAACUGCUUCUCCCGCAUUGGACCCAACUACAUGCUACUUUGCCUCUGACACCUUGUUCAAGGCCACAUUCGUCCUUCAAAGGAUCCUCGUUUGUUUGACACAACAACGUUCCUUUGAGAUGUGAAUGCCGAACAUUGCGAUCCGAUCGGGAAGAAACCACUUUCCUCAGAUUAUUUAUUUUGGAAUCUGAUUUCGUCAUUGAGUCAUUAAACUGGACUGGCCUGCAUGCUUGACUGACGCUUGAAACAAUAAGCCCCCCCCCACACUGAGACUCUUUUAAUAGCAGGGUAAGACACUUGGCAACCAUUUUUCCAACACUCCUUAAUUAAUUGAAUGUUAUGAACUAGAUUACAUGCCCUCCCCUUUCUUGUUUUAGGACACACUCACAGCGCUGUGAGUGUGUGAGUUUUACCACUCAGCGACGAACAUUCCUGUAAACCGCCCCGAAGAGGACCUGUGGUAUCAAAGUGGGCUUUUUCUUAUGGGGGGGGUGUGUUAAAAUGUCCCUAGGAAAUGUACCCUGAACUCAAUUUGGACCCUGAUCCCCGCGGUUUGUAGUCCCCGUCGUUGGUUUUCAUGCAUGCUUUUCUUGCACUGUUGUAUCUGAAAGGACAGCAGUCGGGAUUUGAGGCCCAUCCGUAACACACGGACGCUUCCUUACGUGCACUCGGGUCGGGAACAUGCUGUAGCAGAAAGAUUCCCUGCAGCAAGCCUGACGUUUCCUGAUUAAGAUCACCUCAACCAUCCCCGUCCUUCCAGUUUAGCGCUUGGCAUUUCCUACGAACAUUGACACACGCUUCCUGCUGACGAUAGACGCCACAUUGACUUAGUUCCACCACCUGACCUGUCAGUAGCACGCAGGCAACAGAAGCAUGACGUUGUGUAAAUGAUACGCCUGACUUUUUUUCGAACUUAGAGGGCGAAAAGAAAAAAUAUGAUUGAAAAACAAUUAUGAAUGAUUAAACUUGUUUUUUAACUUAAACAUUAAAACCGUCUAAUCGCCUCGGGGACAUCAAAACCUUUAAACCUCUAGAAAAAACUCCAUUAUCCAACCCAACAAAAGCCAUUGUUGGCCACAAUGCACAAGUCUAACCGAUGUGGAGAGACUAUACCUGUGAAAGGCCCGGCUGGAAGUAUCAAAUGCACAGCUAACACUGCACGUCAAACCCUCGGUCACUGGAUCCAAUGGCUAACAUCACUAAAUCACGCCACAAUAGCCGGGGACGGGGCUCAUUCACACAGGCCACAUGAAAAGGAAAAGGGAGAACGAGGGAUGUCUGACUUCCACGGCUCAGGCCCGCCAGACAAAAGACUCGGGGACAGCGCUGCCUCGGGACAAAAUCAUAUGACACUGGCGCACAGGAAAUCACCCACAUUUUCCUUUGUCCGGGACAUCAUCAAAAACCCUCCUGCCCCGACACAGCGGCAGAAAGCGGGUGAGGGAGAGAGCGCAGGGGGAAGGAUGGGUAGAAGAGGGGAGGGAGUGAGAAGUGACACAGGUGUGUUUCGAGGGUGAAAAUAUAUUCUAAAUCCCAUUAAAACCAAAACCCACGUUCAUAAUGAUGUAGGAACACGUUAAGCAACAGGUUGCGUUUAACUAUAUAUUAUACAUUUUUAAAGAGAGCUCUUCGACUCACAGGAUUUGGAUCAACUCAUUUUUUGUUAUUAAUGAAAAAAAUGACCAACUU
ensembl:lncRNA